rnacentral:rRNA from 1 species
AUUGAACGCUGGCGGCAGGCCGAACACAUGCAAGGCGAGCGAGCGGCGGACGGGGGAGUCAUGCCUGGGAAUUGCCCAGUCGAGGGGGAUAACAGUUGGAAACGACUGCUAAUACCGCAUACGAUUGGCUUGCCCAGGUGGGAUUAGCUAGUUGGUGAGGUAAUGGCUCACCAAGGCGACUAUCCCUAGCUGGCCGGAGAGGGUGAUCAGCCACACUGGAACUGAGACACGUUCCAGACUCCUACGGGAGGCAGCAGUGGGGAAUAUUGCACAAUGGGGGAAACCCUGAGUACGCCAUGCCGCGCGUGUGAAGAAGGCCUUCGGGUUGGAAAGCACUUUCAGCGAGGAGGCGUUAUUCGCAGAAGAAGCACCGGUUAAUUCCGGGCCAGCAGCCGCGGUAAUUC